rnacentral:rRNA from 1 species
GUAAGGAAUAUUGCACAAUGGGCGAAAGCUUGAUGCAGCAACGCCGCGUGCGCGAUGAAGGCCUUCGGGUUGUAAAGCGCUUUUCUGAGGGAAGAGAAAGGACGGUACCUCAGGAAUAAGUCUCGGCUAACUACGUGCCAGCAGCCGCGGUAACACGUAGGAGACCAGCGUUAUCCGGAUUUACUGGGCGUGAAGGGCAUGCAGGCGGGCCUCUAAGUCGGACGUGAAAUCUCCUGGCUUAACUGGGAGGGGUCGUUCGAUACUGGGGGUCUUGAGGGCAGGAGAGGGAAGUGGAAUUCCCGGUGUAGUGGUGGAAUACGUAGAUAUCGGGAGGAACACCAGUGGCGAAGGCGGCUUCCUGGCCUGUGCCUGACGCUGAGAUGCGAAAGCGUGGGGAGCGAACGGGAUUAGAUACCCCGGUAGUCC